rnacentral:rRNA from 1 species
UACGUAAGGGGCAAGCGUUGUCCGGAAUCAUUGGGCGUAAAGCGCGUGUAGGCGGUCCGGUAAGUCCGCUGUGAAAGUCGGGGGCUCAACCCUCGGAUGCCGGUGGAUACUGUCGGGCUUGAGUACGGAAGAGGCGAGUGGAAUUCCUGGUGUAGCGGUGAAAUGCGCAGAUAUCAGGAGGAACACCAAUUGCGAAGGCAGCUCGCUGGGACGUUACUGACGCUGAGACGCGAAAGCGUGGGGAGCAAACAGG